GACGAACGCUGGCGGCGUGCUUAACACAUGCAAGUCGAACGGAAAGGCCCUGCUUUUGCGGGGUGCUCGAGUGGCGAACGGGUGAGUAACACGUGAGUAACCUGCCCUUGACUUUGGGAUAACUUCAGGAAACUGGGGCUAAUACCGGAUAGGAGCACCUGCUGCAUGGUGGGGGUUGGAAAGUUUCGGCGGUUGGGGAUGGACUCGCGGCUUAUCAGCUUGUUGGUGGGGUAGUGGCUUACCAAGGCUUUGACGGGUAGCCGGCCUGAGAGGGUGACCGGCCACAUUGGGACUGAGAUACGGCCCAGACUCCUACGGGAGGCAGCAGUGGGGAAUAUUGCACAAUGGGCGGAAGCCUGAUGCAGCAACGCCGCGUGCGGGAUGACGGCCUUCGGGUUGUAAACCGCUUUCGCCUGUGACGAAGCGUGAGUGACGGUAAUGGGUAAAGAAGCACCGGCUAACUACGUGCCAGCAGCCGCGGUGAUACGUAGGGUGCGAGCGUUGUCCGGAUUUAUUGGGCGUAAAGGGCUCGUAGGUGGUUGAUCGCGUCGGAAGUGUAAUCUUGGGGCUUAACCCUGAGCGUGCUUUCGAUACGGGUUGACUUGAGGAAGGUAGGGGAGAAUGGAAUUCCUGGUGGAGCGGUGGAAUGCGCAGAUAUCAGGAGGAACACCAGUGGCGAAGGCGGUUCUCUGGGCCUUUCCUGACGCUGAGGAGCGAAAGCGUGGGGAGCGAACAGGCUUAGAUACCCUGGUAGUCCACGCUGUAAACGGUGGGUACUGGGUGUGGGGUCCAUUCCACGGGUUCCGUGCCGUAGCUAACGCUUUAAGUACCCCGCCUGGGGAGUACGGCCGCAAGGCUAAAACUCAAAGGAAUUGACGGGGCCCCGCACAAGCGGCGGAGCAUGCGGAUUAAUUCGAUGCAACGCGUAGAACCUUACCUGGGUUUGACAUGGAUCGGGAGUGCUCAGAGAUGGGUGUGCCUCUUUUGGGGUCGGUUCACAGGUGGUGCAUGGCUGUCGUCAGCUCGUGUCGUGAGAUGUUGGGUUAAGUCCCGCAACGAGCGCAACCCUUGUUCACUGUUGCCAGCACGUUAUGGUGGGGACUCAGUGGAGACCGCCGGGGUCAACUCGGAGGAAGGUGGGGAUGACGUCAAGUCAUCAUGCCCCUUAUGUCCAGGGCUUCACGCAUGCUACAAUGGCUGGUACAGAGAGUGGCGAGCCUGUGAGGGUGAGCGAAUCUCGGAAAGCCGGUCUCAGUUCGGAUUGGGGUCUGCAACUCGACCUCAUGAAGUCGGAGUCGCUAGUAAUCGCAGAUCAGCAACGCUGCGGUGAAUACGUUCCCGGG
rnacentral:rRNA from 1 species